rnacentral:rRNA from 1 species
UACGGAGGGGGCUAGCGUUGUUCGGAAUUACUGGGCGUAAAGCGCACGUAGGCGGCUUUGUAAGUUAGAGGUGAAAGCCCGGGGCUCAACUCCGGAAUUGCCUUUAAGACUGCAUCGCUCGAAUUGUGGAGAGGUAAGUGGAAUUCCGAGUGUAGAGGUGAAAUUCGUAGAUAUUCGGAAGAACACCAGUGGCGAAGGCGACUUACUGGACACAUAUUGACGCUGAGGUGCGAAAGCGUGGGAGCAAACAGG